GUGACUAAGUUUAACGGCCGCGGUAUUUUAACCGUGCAAAGGUAGCAUAAUAAAUUGUUCUUUAAAUAAGGACUAGUAUGAAUGGCUCCACGAGGGCUCAACUGUCUCCCCUCUCUAAUCAAUAAAACUGAUCUCCCCGUGAAGAAGCGAGGAUAUACAUAUAAGACGAGAAGACCCCAUGGAGCUUUAAACUCACCACCAAUUACCUAUAAUUACACCAAAAGAAUAAAAGUAAAAUGUUCUGCGUAGUUUUUGGCUGGGGCGACCCUGGAGCAAUAUAAAACCUCCAGAAUGAAUGGAAUAAAAUCCUAAUAUAAGAAUUACAACUCAAAUAAUCAAAAACCUGACAUGAUGAUCCAAAUUUUUGAUCAAUGAAACUAGUUACCCUGGGGAUAACAGCGCAAUCCAUUUCAAGAGCCCUUAUCGACAAAUGGGUUUACGACCUCGAUGUUGGAUCGGGGUAUCCCGGUGGCGCAGCCGCUACCUAAGGUUCGUUUGUUCAACGAUUAAUAACCCCACGUGAUCUGAGUUCAGACCGGA
rnacentral:rRNA from 1 species